UUAAUACUCCCUCCGUCCAACAAAGAAUGUCUCAACUUUGACUAAAUUUGAAUGCAUCUAUACACUAAGUCAUGUCUAGAUACAUUCAAAUUUUAACAAACUUGAGACAUCUUUUGUUGGACGGAAAGAGUACUAA
rnacentral:pre_miRNA from 1 species